CGUAGGUCACAAGCGUUAUCCGGAAUUAUUGGGCGUAAAGGGAGCGCAGGCGGUUUAUCAAGUUUGUGGUUAAAGUUCGGGGCUUAAACCCCGUGAUGCCACAGAAACUGGUAGACUAGAGUGCAGGAGAGGUGAGUGGAAUUCCAUGUGUAGCGGUAAAAUGCGUAGAUAUAUGGAGGAACACCAGUGGCGAAGGCGGCUCACUGGCCUGUUACUGACGCUGAGGCUCGAAAGCGUGGGGAGCAAAUAGGAUU
rnacentral:rRNA from 1 species